UGUAUCUUUGCACUACUUUGUUCCAUUAAGGAUGAAAAGGGAAUCAGGUGCAAAUCCUGAACAGACCCGCUGCUGUAAGCUCUGGGAAUGUUUGUAUCAAAAUACCACUGUUGCAAAAUGGGAAGGUGAUAUAAGCAAGAGUAAGUCAGAAGACCUGCAAAGUAAAUAUUUUCGAC
rnacentral:ncRNA from 2 species